rnacentral:lncRNA from 1 species
UUAAAUGAAUGAUACCAAACAAACAUAACUCAAUCGGUGGUGGGUCCCACAGAUUGCACUGCAUGUCACACUAUAAAUUUCCAACUAUCUUACCAAAACUUCCAAACUCAUUCUCUUUCUUUGACUCAUUUUGGUCUUGGCUGUUUUUGGUUUCGCUGGAAUCUGAUGUAAGGGUGGCCGGCUGGAAAACAUGGUGCAAUUCUUUAGUGCAGUGUCGAUUCUAAUUCUGGUGGCUGUGGCGGCAUCGAUGGUGGUGCUGCCGCUGAUGUUGCCGCCCCUGCCUCCACCGCCGCUGAUUCUCCUCUUCUUCCCCGUCGGCAUAAUGACGGCGCUUAUGUUGCUGGCGUUUGUGCCAUCAGAGGUGCCCAUGGCUACAAACCUAAUCCUUUAGGAUAUGAUGAAAUAAUAAGGAAUAUGAUUUAGGAGCACGUGAUUCUUGCCUGCUACAUUUCUCUGUUUUAUAGAGAGAGUAACAUGUUUUUUUAGUUAUCAAAUAACUGUAUAAAUGUUUAGAUGAUUAUUUAAUGAAGUAGCUUUUUUUAAAAAAAUCUUCGUUAAGUAUUCUUUUUUUAUUUUUUUAAUAAUUAUGUUAUAAGUAUCUGUGGAGAAAUCUAACUUAUUACUCGUAAUAAACAUUAUGAAAAGUUUAAGCAAAAUUUACUUCAUAGCUGCCCCGGGGUAAGAGUAAAGUUA